rnacentral:misc_RNA from 1 species
UUUCCGUAGGUGAACCUACGGAAGGAUCAUUACCGAGUGAGGGCCCUCUGGGUCCAACCUCCCACCCGUGUUUAUCGUACCUUGUUGCUUCGGCGGGCCCGCCUCACGGCCGCCGGGGGGCACCCGCCCCCGGGCCCGCGCCCGCCGAAGACACCAUUGAACGCUGUCUGAAGAUUGCAGUCUGAGCAUCUUAGCUAAAUCAGUUAAAACUUUCAACAACGGAUCUCUUGGUUCCG